rnacentral:rRNA from 1 species
UACGUAGGGGGCAAGCGUUGUCCGGAAUCAUUGGGCGUAAAGAGCGUGUAGGCGGCCCGGUAAGUCCGUUGUGAAAGCCCCGGGCUCAACCUGGGAAUAGCAUUUGGGACUGGUUGGCUAGAGAUCGGGAGAGGAGAGUGGAAUUCCCAGUGUAGAGGUGAAAUUCGUAGAUAUUGGGAAGAACACCGGUGGCGAAGGCGGCUCUCUGGACCGAUACUGACGCUGAGGCGCGAAAGCGUGGGGAGCAAACAGG